ACCCACUGUUCCCCGCUUGUGUUGUGUGGACUGUUGUAUGUACCUCUUUUUUCAGCCCCAGGGUGACACUAUUACCCACAUCUGGUAGCUCAUACUGUUCUCUUCCACAGGUCCUGCGGUGUAUCUUCCCAAGUGGCGUGGAUGUGAGGAGACACGACAUUUCACCUGAUGUUCCAUGGGUGACCCUACUGGUGAUGUGGACCUGACCCUCCGCCAUGUAGCAGACAACCCCCUCAGGUGAGAUGCAAUUGACCAACAAAACUCCCUUGUCCAAAAUCACCCUGGCAUGUCCAAAGUGCAGCCCUCCGGCAUUUGCAAGACUGCACAUCCAAACAUUCCCUGAAACAGCAAUGCUGGAGCGGGGAAUGUUUGGAUGUGUAGUGAUGCAAGUGCAGGAGGGUUGCAUUUGGACCCACUGUUCCCCGCUUGUGUUGUGUGGACUGUUGUAUGUACCUCUUUUUUCAGCCCCAGGGUGACACUAUUACCCACAUCUGGUAGCUCAUACUGUUCUCUUCCACAGGUCCUGCGGUGUAUCUUCCCAAGUGGCGUGGAUGUGAGGAGACACGACAUUUCACCUGAUGUUCCAUGGGUGACCCUACUGGUGAUGUGGACCUGACCCUCCGCCAUGUAGCAGACAACCCCCUCAGGUGAGAUGCAAUUGACCAACAAAACUCCCUUGUCCAAAAUCACCCUGGCAUGUCCAAAGUGCAGCCCUCCGGCAUUUGCAAGACUGCACAUCCAAACAUUCCCUGAAACAGCAAUGCUGGAGCGGGGAAUGUUUGGAUGUGUAGUGAUGCAAGUGCAGGAGGGUUGCAUUUGGACCCACUGUUCCCCGCUUGUGUUGUGUGGACUGUUGUAUGUACCUCUUUUUUCAGCCCCAGGGUGACACUAUUACCCACAUCUGGUAGCUCAUACUGUUCUCUUCCACAGGUCCUGCGGUGUAUCUUCCCAAGUGGCGUGGAUGUGAGGAGACACGACAUUUCACCUGAUGUUCCAUGGGUGACCCUACUGGUGAUGUGGACCUGACCCUCCGCCAUGUAGCAGACAACCCCCUCAGGUGAGAUGCAAUUGACCAACAAAACUCCCUUGUCCAAAAUCACCCUGGCAUGUCCAAAGUGCAGCCCUCCGGCAUUUGCAAGACUGCACAUCCAAACAUUCCCUGAAACAGCAAUGCUGGAGCGGGGAAUGUUUGGAUGUGUAGUGAUGCAAGUGCAGGAGGGUUGCAUUUGGACCCACUGUUCCCCGCUUGUGUUGUGUGGACUGUUGUAUGUACCUCUUUUUUCAGCCCCAGGGUGACACUAUUACCCACAUCUGGUAGCUCAUACUGUUCUCUUCCACAGGUCCUGCGGUGUAUCUUCCCAAGUGGCGUGGAUGUGAGGAGACACGACAUUUCACCUGAUGUUCCAUGGGUGACCCUACUGGUGAUGUGGACCUGACCCUCCGCCAUGUAGCAGACAACCCCCUCAGGUGAGAUGCAAUUGACCAACAAAACUCCCUUGUCCAAAAUCACCCUGGCAUGUCCAAAGUGCAGCCCUCCGGCAUUUGCAAGACUGCACAUCCAAACAUUCCCUGAAACAGCAAUGCUGGAGCGGGGAAUGUUUGGAUGUGUAGUGAUGCAAGUGCAGGAGGGUUGCAUUUGGACCCACUGUUCCCCGCUUGUGUUGUGUGGACUGUUGUAUGUACCUCUUUUUUCAGCCCCAGGGUGACACUAUUACCCACAUCUGGUAGCUCAUACUGUUCUCUUCCACAGGUCCUGCGGUGUAUCUUCCCAAGUGGCGUGGAUGUGAGGAGACACGACAUUUCACCUGAUGUUCCAUGGGUGACCCUACUGGUGAUGUGGACCUGACCCUCCGCCAUGUAGCAGACAACCCCCUCAGGUCUUCCGGUGUAUCCUUCCUAAGUGGCGUGGAUGUGAAGAGACAGUUCCCCUGAUGUUCCCUGGGCAAUCUACUUACGUACAAUUCAACUGCAUUACAAAUUUUAAUAAAAACCACAGGAAACUUCUAUUUUUAAAAGUUUAUUGAAGAAAAAAUUUUUUUAAUAAAGUUUGAAAGUUAAUUAAAACAAAAAA